rnacentral:rRNA from 1 species
UACAGAGGGUGCAAGCGUUGUUCGGAAUUAUUGGGCGUAAAGCGCGUGUAGGCGGCUUUGCAAGUCGGGUGUGAAAGCCCUCAGCUCAACUGAGGAAGUGCGCCCGAAACUGCAGAGCUUGAGUACCGGAGAGGAUGGCGGAAUUCCCCAAGUAGAGGUGAAAUUCGUAGAUAUGGGGAGAAACACCGGUGGCGAAGGCGGCCAUCUGGACGGAUACUGACGCUGAGACGCGAAAGCGUGGGGAGCAAACAGG